AUUGAACGCUGGCGGCAGGCUUAACACAUGCAAGUCGAGCGAGCGGCGGACGGGUGAGUAAUGGCUGGGAAACUGCCUGAUGGAGGGGGAUAAAUACUGGAAAUGGUAGCUAAUACCGCAUAACAUAAGAUGUGCCCAGAUGGGAUUAGCUAGUAGGUGGGGUAAUGGCUUACCUAGGCGACGAUCCCUAGCUGGUCUGACAGGAUGACCAGCCACACUGGAACUGUGACACGGUCCAGACUCCUACGGUAGGCAGCAUUGGGGAAUAUUGCACAAUGGGCGCAAGCCUGAUGCAGCCAUGCCGCGUGUGUGAAGAAGGCCUUCGGGUUGUAAAGCACUUUCAGCGAGGAGGCGUUACUCGCAGAAGAAGCACCGGGUAACUCCGUGCCAGCAGCAGCGGUAAUAC
rnacentral:rRNA from 1 species